CGAGAUUCUGCUUUAGUAAGUCUGGAGUGGUGAUGCCCAUCUACUGCCACAUUUGGGAAGGUGCAGGGAAGCUUCUAGCACAACCUUGCCUGGAUCCACUGCUCCUAUCUGAGGUCCCCGGUGAUAUCUAAGAGGUAGAGAGGUUAUAGAGGCGACACACACCGCAAGGGUGGCACCACCAAGCUCCUUCCCCCUGAGCUCUAUGCAGCUUCUCUCCAUCAAACCGAACUUUGGAACUGUCUGUGAGCUCUAGUUUGUGCGUCCCUUAGCAAGAUGGUUUCAGGAAAAUCCAAGAGGUUCUAUUUGGAGUCUGGGAACGCUUGAGAGCUUUUCCAUGUAAGUUAAUGGCAAUUGGUUCACCUUCUGCCAUUUCAGCUUGUAAAAGAUUUUGCAGGAAUGCUCUGCUUUUGGAGAGAGGGAAAUCUGUGCCUAUUUGACUUCUGAGAUUCCUGGAUUCUCUUAGCCACUCGGUGGGUUCCCUUAACCCUGGUCAUGCAUCUUCACCAGGCCUAUUUAAUGAGAUUUGGCACCUGCCCUAAAAUAGAGUCAGCACCUGGCUGUUAAACUCAACUUCAUCCCUCUACUCAUUCAGCAACUAGACAGAUCUCUGGAAUCUGUUCACAGAGGACAUGGGAAAGAUCCCCCCUUCCUUGAGAGGAGUUAUUUUUUGUGUAUGUUAUUUUUUAAUAAAGAUCUACGUCCCACAUGGGGCCUGACCUCACAACCCCAGGAUUGAGGGUUGUGUGCUCUACUGACUGGGCCAGCCAGGCACCCAUUACUUUGUUUUUUGACUUCGAUUUACCACAAACUGCAAGGAACUGAAGAUUUUCAUAAAGAAGAAACCAUCACCACUCUUUAUAAGCAUCUGCCAUCAUUAAAUAAGUUCCCAGGAAGAACAGGGUGACCCCAUUUGGCUGAGCCAGGUCAAGCAAGAGUGAACACCUUGAGAAAUUUGAGCACCUCAUGCCCUUCCAGUACCACUCCAGUUCCAGAUUAGUUUUCUUCUCUGGUCUCCUUCCCUGGGCUCAAAUUCUCAACCACUGAGGGUGGAAGAACAUUGCUGAACUGGGGGUGCGUUCCCCUUGAAGGCCUGUGCCUUCCUGCUCAGUACAAGUGUUCCCACCCAUAGUCCAGGGGAGACACUCACCCCAGGGGGCAAGGGGCAACAAAUUCCUCAGAUGCCUCUGAGAUAUGCUCUACGUUCCCCCCAGACGUGUGAGGUGUAGCAAAAGCAGGGGAGACAGCCAGCAAGGCAGCUGCUAGUGUUCCCUACCCCCUGCCCCCCGCCAGCCUAGUGCAGAUGAGUGCUGCCACUGUUUCUCUUCUGCUGGGGCUCCGGCAGUCCCACUGUCAUUACCACGGAGGUACUGGGCUUGAGCUCAAGUUAGGAAGGCCACACAUGGAGACAGAGGGAAUGUAAGAAGGGGCCUGGGGGACAGCAGGCGAGGUAAAACCGAACAGGGUAAAGAUCAAAAGUAAAACAAGAAUCCCACUUGGUCUUUUUUCCAUUCUCCUUUAUUCCAUAAACACCUAGUUACAAGUUGCACGAAUCAAAAAAUAAAGGCAGAGAAGGGUGUGGGGAAGAUUUCUGUGAUGUGCAGGGGGUGGGUAGGGAGGAAGGGUGGGGAGCCAGUCCUCUCCCUCCACACAGCCCUAGAUGAGGGCUAUGGACCCUGCAGCAGGGGAUCUGAGGUGGAGGUGGGCAAAGAUCCAGGGUGGGUGAAGGAUGGAGUAAGCCCCUAAACCCAGAGCUCACCCCCAAAGCCCCUCCAAUGCAUGGCAAGGGUAGAAUGGGGCAGGUAAGGAGAUUCAAAGAUGGAGCAGCAGAAUGAAAAAUCAAGUUAGCAGACACAGGAGAAAUGGAGUCAUCGUGGUAGGGGAUUAAAGAAGGAGAAAGUAGGUAAACGGGGCAAUGAAAGGUCCUCCCUGAGACCCCCAGGGAGAGGUGGGGGCCAGCUUGCCUGUUAAUUUAAUAUUAAACUGGGAGUGGGAGUUGGAAAGGAAAAUGUUAUUUCAGGGGAUGAUUCUUCAGCCUCUCAGCCUGUACCUGGAAGAGGAAGAGAGAAGAGCACAAGUCAAAACAAAGACAAAAGCCGGGAGUUGGGUUUAAUCCCCUGUUCCAGCGAGAGCAUUCUUCUUUCCACACCAGUGAAAACUUGUACCACUAAAGGCAACACCUCCCUGCAGAGGAAGGUGCACAGGUCGGCUCCUCCACCCCCUUCCGUGCUCUACACCUUACAAGUCUCCCCCUCGGUACUUACAGGAGAGGCUGAAGGCCUAGGGCCCUCACCAGUCAUAGCGGCGGGACUGUCGGGAGGGGGAAUCCUCGGGGCCCUGGAUAGCCAGGCGGGGCGGCCCCUCAGCCCUUCGUCCCCCACCACCUGAAGCCUCAUGCCUCCGAAAUUCCAGGGGGCGCUGCUGCCGGAAUCGGGAUGUCUCCCUCCGCCAUUCAUCAUCGAAUGCUGCGGCUUCACCUGAGGAGCACAGAGACCAGGCGUGACACUUACUAAACGCACAGGCUGGCUUCUGGAAUCAAGUGCCAAGAGUGAGCCAUGGCCUUCUCAGGGUUCAAUAUGGUUCUGCUAGCUGAGAGCCCAUAGCUAUCCUAAUAUGGAAGCCACCAACAAGCCCAAGAUAGGGCUACUGAAGAAGGAUAUCAGGAAGGGGAUAUUAUUAAGUUAAGGAGCAUAGUCCCAUGUACACAUUUAUCAAGUAUUUGAUGAAUAUUUGUUGACUUGGAAAAAAAAGGGGGAGGAGAAAGGAAAGAACUGACCCUGCCAGCAUCUGACUUAGCCCCUGAAGAUGACAAGGCUCAAGCGAGGUAAGAAGUGGGCCCCCCCCAAUAACUUUGCCAAGAAAUAUCUACAGAGGUAGGGAACAAAAGUUUUUAUCUCCUAGCUCACAGGAACUGGACCAGUGGCUACUGGUCCAGAGGUCAGAAGGGUGAUGUGCAGGAAGGAGGCUCACUCUCAUCCAGGUUGAUAUAAUCCUGCCGCUCCUCCUGGUCCCCCGUGCGGUGGUUUCGGGAGCGCUGGAGGAUGUGGGCCCGGUCUCGGAUGUGGUGCCCAAUGGACAUCUGCUCUAGCCCACUGUCUGAGUCCCGCACGGUCCUCCGAGUCUCCCGGAUCUGGGAUGGGGGAGAACACAGCCCUCAGCCACCCCUUCCGAAGCCCUGGCCACACCACACCAGGACAGCAAACCACCCCCAGCCCAGUCCUGAGAAAGGAAGGCAGGGCUGCUGCCUGCAGCCUUCAGUGCUGCCUUCUCUGGGAGGUGAGAAGCUGCCCAACUCACCCCGCCUGGUGCCGAACGCAUCUCUGAUGUCUCCUGGUAGACCUUGGGGGCGCCAUCACCCGUAUUGGAGUAGGAGAUGACAGUGGAGGAUGAAAAGGUCUGGCAAUUGCCUCCUGCUGUCAUAUGUUCCUGAGGAGGAAAAGGUACCACAGGACUGAAUGGUCCCUCUGGAGAAGGAAUCCCACACCACACUUCAGCUGCCUGUUCUUGUCCCUUUCUCACAGCACGGGGGAGCCAAGAAAAUGUCAGGACUCAUCAGUAACCCCCAAAUUCCUUGGAGCCCAACAAUAAAUAAGACGGAGCCUUAAUUGCACACUUCAUGAGACUGCUGCUGCUGCUUCAUACUCAGGCAUGAGAGCAGAUAAGGGAACCCAGUGCUCUCCGGGCUCCAUGACUUUAUCUAGCUCCAGCCCUUCCUUCACCAGCACACUCUUCCCUGUUCCUGCCUCAAAGGACUCAAGGUGUUGCCAGCUAUCACCGAGAACAAGAGUACAAAAGCAUAUGGGGUAAGAGCCUCACCAUGUUCCCAAUCAUGUCAUUCAUCAUUCCAAACAUGUCCAUGAAGCCACCCGACUGCAGCAAAGAGAUGGAAAACAGAGUCAGGAAAGCACAGUCAGAACUCAGAUUAUCUUUAGGUACCCGCUAGACAGACACGUGGCUACACAUUCCCUUUCUCUUCUUCACAUGGAGCCACUGCUCUGUCUCUUCCUCAGCGCGACCAGAACAGGGGGUGUUCCCCUUCACAUCUCCCUCCCUGCGCAUGCUGCCUUCCUCCUCAGUCUCUACAGCUUCUCUGAUCCAAUCUGCUUUCUCCCAACUGUCCUAUUUCCUCCUAUCUUUAGGAAGCACACCCAAGUAAAUAGAUUCUAACCCACAAAAGGGUUGGGCAUAAAACCAUAAAAACAGCAACAGCAAACUUCUAAAAGCCAUCUCGGUUGGCCCUUCGACUCCAUCUCCAUCCUCAGAACGACAAACUUUGCUAGGCAAUUACAUUUUCCUAAUAGGUGUGGCUCUUAGAAUGGAGGAAUCAGUAAGUUAGCAUCUUUAACCCACAGAACUCAGCACACAACAGACCCAGAGCUUUAUGAACACUAUAAAAAGAUUUUAGGGUUACCCAUAAGGCUGUUCCAGAGAGCCACAUUUGGAAAUAACAUCUAAGGAUAUAGAGUGUGUCUGAGAAUGGAAGGACACGAGGACAUUAGGACUCACCAUUCCCAGCAUCCCAAAGGGGGAGACAGCCCCAGCCUACAGGAAAACAUAAAGAACAAAUUAAAGACCACGUCCUAUGUCACUACAGUC